UGGCUCUGUCACCAACAUUGAGGACUCAAACUCCUUAGCUCUUCUCUGGUGUCAAGAAGCAGCAGAAUGUCUGUCUGCACAAGUCACUGAAGGAUCCCCAAACCUCCUCCUUUUUUGGCACCAAGAAUGCUUUUAAAGUUUUCCCACCUGGCUAAAGCCCUCUACAAGAGGACCUACCAUCAUCUACCAUCAUCAUCUGCACCAUUUCACACCAACUGCCUUGAGAAGAGGGUUGUACUGGACACUACCUCAGCUCUACCUGGGCUUGCCACAGAGCAGUGUUGUUAAAGAGCAUACAGGGUGACCCUGCUGCAUCUGUGCUCCCCUUCCUCUUUCUUCAGAGGAAGAAGCCCAUUAAAAUCUCCAGUUUUUACUCCUUGAGUAGCAGUGGGGCCAAGGCUAUGAAUCUUGGUGUGGAUUAUACCUUGGAAACAAGAAGCUUUUUAGUUCUUGAAUAAUUUAUAGGCUGGACUUGAUGAUCUCGGAGGUCUUUUCCAGCCUCAGUGAUUCUCUCUCUGAACUCCCAAGUGAUGUGGUACAUUUCCCUACAAUGGGCACUUUCAAGUCCCAGCUUGACAGGGUGCUGAGUUGUCUCAUUUAUACUGCACUCUUACACUGAAAGGUUGGACUGGAUGAUCCUUGAGGUCCCUUCCAACCUGGUAUUCUAUGAAUCCUCUCUAACAGAAAUAUCUACAGUGAAUAAGGUGAAUCACUCCUGAUUACUGCCUGCCACUCCUGACUCUCUGUUGCCUAUAAUUGGAACCUUGGUCCCUAGAUGAGAAACAUCCUGCAGCACACAAGUUACCCAGUUCAAGUGGGGUGAAGCCACUCUUAAAGCUAGGUUGGAUGAAUCCCACCCUGGUGGUAUCUCUCUUCCACUUCUACAAGGCAGGUGUAUCUGAGAAGUCUGAGAGAAGAACUUUCCAGCCAGUACAGAGACAAAGAGAGCACUGUGAGACUCUUAUUGCCAUAUAAAUAGUCCUACACAGUUCUGUGGCCAUGGAGAAAGCAGCUGCCUCUGUGACCCUUUCCUGGAGCAGUUUCAAUCAGAGAGGCUCACUUUUUGGGGUGGCUUUUCCUUGCAAUGCCAUCAUGGUUAGAACAAUUAAGGAAUAUCUGAUGGCAAUAUCAGCUGUUUUCUCAGCCUGUUGUGCAAAGCUGCAUGCUCCAUAGAUACUAAUCUUUCCCACAGAUGUAAGGGAGGCACCAGAGCUGGGCUUGUAGAUAUCUCCACUACCAAGCCAGCCAACACUCAUAUUGCUGACUGGGGGACAAGGGGAAGGGUAACCACUUCAGCA